rnacentral:rRNA from 1 species
GAUAAACCGGAGGAAGGUGGGGAUGACGUCAAAUCAUCAUACCCCUUAUGGCCUGGGCUACAAACGUAAUACAAUGGCGUAUACAAAGGGAUGCGAAAGGGCGACCUGGAGCAAAACUCACAAAGUACGUCUCAGUUCAGGUUGGAGUCUGCAACUCGACUCCAUGAAGGCGGAAUCGCUAGUAAUCGCGGAUCAGCAUGCCGCGGUGAAUACGUUCUCCGGGGGUUU